GGAGAGGUACGGAAGUGGACAUAACCGGCCGUUCUCGAAAAGCGGUUGACUCGUAAGGGUCACGUGGGUUCGAAUCCCACCCUCUCCGCCA
rnacentral:tRNA from 1 species